UCUGAACAACUUAGAGGAAAUUUUAGUUUUCAUAAAAUAAUUAAGAAGUAAUACUUAUAUUAAUUUUAAUAUUUAUAUUCUUCACCUAAUUAAAGCUGAAUUAUGAAAUACAACUGUCACUCAAACAUUUUAGGUUUAUAUUUACUGUAUUCAUAUACGUUUUUGUUUCAGAAAUGUUUAUUGGAAGUAGUAUAAAUUUCUAUGAGGAAAGACUUGAAAAGUUUUAUCUGUGACCCCAAGAAGAUCACAGUCAAUGUGAAGUAGGCUAAAAAUGGUCCAAGAGCCCAUUUUAGAAAAAUAACAGUCUUUGUUCAAAAAAUACCUUGAAAUCAUUAGAUAUAUUACAAGAAGCCUUAAGUAUAGAGUCUGGAAAAGACAUUGAAACAAAGACACAGCUAGACUCUUCUGCACAAGUCUUCUGCGUAUCAGUCAAAUAUAAAAUGAAGAAAAAUAAAGAUUGAAAAGCUAAAAAAAAAUUGUAUGCAAUUAUAUUCCAGAUAUAUUAGGUCUUAAUUAAUGUAUUGAUGAUUUCAAUAAUAAAAUGCCCAUUGUUGUCUAAGCAAAAAACAAAACAAAAAAAACAGCUGUGAAAGAGGCAACAGGAAAUUUGUAAAAAGAGUAGAUCCCAGGGAAUGGAGCAGGAAACUGAAGCUUUUAAAUAAGGGAGCCAGUAAGAUAUUUCUGAUAAUUGGUUAGGCAAAGUGCUUUUAAGAACUGUGUUAACUAACAUUCAACUUGAAGUUUUUUAUGAUGACAUGAUGUAAACCUUAUUCAUUAUCCUAUUCCAUCAAUGGACUUAACACAUAAUUUUGGAGGAAUGUGAAAGAAUUUUCAUAGUGUCUAGAAUGUAGUGAUUAGCAAACAGUGUAUAUGGAACAUUGUGAUAACCCACACACUUAAAACAGUUCUUUGAAAAUAGUCUUAGCUGAGAUAACUGGGAGAAGCAUAAUAUCUCAUUUUUUUCCAAGAAUUAUUUGCAAUAAUGAAACAGAUACUGGGUCCCUUAGAAUACAACAUUUGGCAUUUUGGUCAAUUGCAUUUGAAAUACACUGUGAAAAUUGUUCGGUAUUACAUGGUAAUUCCUGCUACAUUGGAAUCAGGACCAAGAUUAUUGGACCAUGAUAAAUGACCUUAUGUCUGCUUGGAGAAGUCAAGUUUUUAUAGGUAAUGCUUCAGCUGAAAUUGAAAAGUAUGUAUGACUCUGUCAGGUAGACAAGGAAAAGGCAAAACGUUUCAGAAAGAUAAAAUGACCUGACAAAGUGUAGAGGCAUGAAAGGAAUAGGUAUAUGGAAGCAGGUAGUUUUUGGCAUGGCUUGAGUAUAAGAGACAGAUGGAGAAGAAUGAGAAGUUGGAGCUUGGGAUGAUAGGAACUCUCAAUGUCAAGUUAAGCAUGAUACAAAUAAAACUUUAUUUUAUAGGCAAUAGAGAACUGGAGAUCCUUAAACACUUUUAAAGAAAGAAGGCAUGUGCCCUAUCUUAACUGUUGGAAAAGUAAGUCAUGCAUGUAUAUAGUAUAGUUGGGAGGAAGGUAAUGCCAGCAAAAAAUAAGAGUAGACUAUGAGAGAAUUCCAUUUAAUUGAUGAUAGGUGUCUAAAGUAGAACAGAAUAGAGCCACAGAAGUAGAAGGAAUUGGUGGAUGUUGAAACAUUGCUAAUGAGACUAGAAAAAGACUGUCCACAGAGAUCUGAGACAAUCUGGAAGAUGUUGAUGGCUUUCACCAAUUUCCAAAAUAAAUACGUAAGACAGUAUAAGCUUUGAUGAGGUAGGAUGAAAAGACUGAAUUCAGCUUGAGGACUCUGUGGAAUAUGUACAUUGUCAGUAAUCAGGUGAUCCAGAACUGUCUAGGAAGGCUGAUGUUUUCUAUCCAGGAAAAAAGAUAAGUGACUAGUUGUCAGCAGGUAGUUGAAGGUUACAGUCUAAAUGAGAUGACUCAAGUAGAUUUGUAAAGUGAAAAGAAAACUGGGAAGAAGAUCAAGCUCUGCUGCACACCAAAUGCACCAAAAUAAGUAUUCUUUCCUGGGCUGGAGAUUUGGGAAGGUCUAAAACAUAAGGGAAGAAGCAGGAGUAGAGAAAAAACAAAAAAAGCGUGUCAAUAAUCAAAAACUUGAUCAAUAUAUCAGAAGUUGCAGAGAAGUCAGGUAAGAUAAGGCCUGAAGUGCACCCUUUGGAUUAGUGCAUGUAAAGACACUGGUGACUUUAUAAAAAAAUAAUUUCAGCGAAAUAGUAAGAGCUGGUUCUGGGAUGAAGUAUGUUGAGCCAUCAAGGUACAGGGAGAAGGUAAUGGCAGUGGCUGGUUAAUUUCCUAAAGAGCAUGUCUAUGAGUAGAAAAGAUAAUUUCACUUCAAAUAAUAUCAUAAAUGAAGAAAUUUUUUUUCUGAUAUUGCUAUCUGAGAGCAAUUUGAAGUCAGCAGGCAGAGAGAGAGAAAAUGAGAGAGGGAGAGAGAGAGAGAGAGAGGAGAGAAGAGAAGCUGAAGGUAUCGGAAAGAAAGGAGAUACUUAAUGCAGUGUGGUGUGGAGAAGAUAACAGUAGAUGAGGCCAUCCUGAAGGUGGCAGUAAAGAUCACAAAGUACCCACAUUAAGUUUUAAGACAAACUUGUAAAACCAGAAGGAAGAAAGUCAGAACAUUUAGAUGUAUGUAUAAUUUGAUGUUUAAGAGUUUAGGGUCUUUCCACAUUCAAGUCUUGAUUUUUACUGUGAAAUAGAAUAAAAGCAAUCUCUUGAAGAUGAGGAGGCCAAAAAUUAUCUACUUGAGAAGAGUGAUAAAAUUUUGAAAUAGCCAGGCAGAUGGGAAAUACAUCUGACAAGGGUGGUAUUAUAGGAUUUGUAGAACAAAACUAAAAUUAAAUAUCAUAAAAUUGAAGUGGCAGAAACCCACAAAAUUAUACAUUUUUUUCCAACAGCUUUCAGAAGAUGGGCAUAGGACUGAUAAAUGCAGCUGGCAAAAGUCUACCACAUUUGGGCUUUGUAUAGCAAGGACAUCAGAAGAACAGCAUCGUCAGAAGGGAGGGUACAGUGAUUAUGGUGGAACUGCAUUAUAAACUCCAGGCUUUUUGGAAAAACCAAGUUCUUAGACAAAAGAAAAGCUAAUAGACAUUAAAAGAGAUAGAAGUCAAGAGAGUAUUGAUUAGAGUAAGGGCUGACGUGUAAGCAUGGUUGGCAGACCCACCCCUAAUAUUUAAGGUGCCCGGGGCCAGAAUGUUAUUAGAGCUCCUUCUAUUACUUACCUAAAUAUUUGAAAGUAGUAAAUCAAGACAAAUUAUUAAUGCAAUGUGAUUGAUGCUACUUUGACAAUUUAUCCUUAUAAAAGCAUGAAAGAGGGAAGUUCCACUUCAAUAUGUGGUGGUUCAGGAAGAGCCAUUCCUUAGACCCUGAUGUCCAUUCCUCUCAUCCCAGCCUCAGCUCCAUCCCAUGCUGAGGGAGAUCUGACCACACGUGUGUCACGCAGGUUCUUGUGCCCAACAUCCUUUACAACCUUCUCAAAUGGCUUGUGUCUAAGGACGUGGAUACCACAAAUGGGUCCUCUGAGGAGAAAAGAGCUUCAUAAAAAAUCUGUGCAGGCUACAGAGGCAGGAACAAGGCCAGUUAAGCCAGGAAUUCCAGCAUCCUGUUAUUCAGCGUAUAAUCUGAGAAGGAGGUGCAAGGUCUCCAAGUGAGCACUUAUACUUGGCCCCACAAACUCUUCACCCCUCAGAAGGGGUGUAGUAUAAAAAGGGAAGACUAAGGCCUUGCAAAGAAGACCCUCUUUUGGGGUCCAAGGGGUAACAUUGGUAGGAUAAGGAUUAAGAUUAUUAAUGAUUCCAAUGUGGAAUACCAGGGUUGAACAUUCAAUAGGUAGGACAUUCAUGAUAACAGAAAGAGAUGUAAGACAUGUGUGCUUAAGAGAUUGAAUCAUUAAACUCUAUAUAUUUUAUUGAAUCAUUGAAAUAUACAUAUAUUUGAAUCAUUGGAAAAAGGUAUAUAUAUAUGUAUAUAUAUGUAUAUUUAUAUCAGGUUACGGCACUAAAGAACCUUCAUGAAGCUAGGUCUCCAGAUUAAUCUACUGUCAGAUACUCGAGUCUUCAAGGUGAGAACAAGAGUUUGAGUGGAGAGGACCUGGUGAAAUGGGAGCAAAAGACUUUGACAGGUGAGGAGAAAUGUCGAGGUUCAGUAAAGGGUGAUAAUGGGCAGGAAGGGAUGACACAACCAAAGUACAGAAGAAGUUUGGGUUAAAGCUGACAUAGAAUCUUUGCAAGAGACUAGGAAAAGGAAGCUGUCACUGCUUUAGAGUCCUGUCAUCAUCAGGGCAUGGGCAAAUAAGCAUUCAUUAUUCUAGGGAGAAGAGAUGGGUUUCAGUGAGGGAAAAAACCCAGAAGCAAAGAGGAUGAGCUCGAGGAGCAGAGAAUUGCUAACACACUUUGGUAGAAGCCAUGACUACUUCCACAUGUAUACAUAUGUAACUAACCUGCACAUUGUGCACAUAUACCCUAAAACUUAAAGUAUAAUAAUAAUAAAAUAAAAAAAAGACUUGGAAAUGAAAAGAAUAAGAUAAAAAAAAGGAAGCCAUGACUACUCUGUCACUUUCAUUACCAGUCCCUGCACAGCACUGGAGCAAUAUGUAUACAUAACAAACAUUGGUUAAGUUUAUGAAUUAUUUGAUAUUAUUUCUAUCAGCCAGAUCUUCUCAAGGUUGAACAAAAUAGCCUUAAAAAAUCAUAGUUUUUCCAGUCAUAGCCGGCUCUAGAAAAUUAGUUCAUAGGAAGAUUGCAGAGCUCUGGAAAAGAGAAGGUGAGUAGUAGAGGUCUUUUUAGUUCUCUUUCAGAAUUUUAUGUCUAUCAUAAUAAUUUGGGUAAUGUAAAUUUCAAUCACCCAGUAUUUAAGAAAACGGAAGAAGAUAAAAUGUGCUAUAUCCUUUAUAUAUUUUGCAAAUAAUUAUUGUGGAGCUGGUUUUAACUAUUGAUUUUGUGAUUAAUAAUAAUAAUAACUGCAUUUAGGUUAUGAAAUAACACAGAGCCCUACUAGGAUUUUCAUAGUUGAAUUUUUUUAAUCCAGAAGAAUAUGACAACAAAAUAAUUACUGAAGUAACUAAAAAAAAUUAUUAUUGACUUAUAUUCUCCCUAGCCAAAUAUCUAUAACAAUGUUUUUCUAAAUGUAAAUACUAAUAUAAUAAUGAAGUCAUAAAAUAAAUCUUGUGGGUCAUAAGCUGAUUUUUAAACUUAUAACAAUGUAUCACAGACUUUAAAAUGAUGUUUAAAGAGAAAUUCUAGCAUUCAUCUACUUAUUUAUCCACCUGCAUGUAUUGAGUGCCUGCUCUAAAUGCCAAGUGCUCUGCUGUAAUUGGAAGUAGAAUGCUGAACCUGGUAAGUAAGGAUACUCCUUUUACAGAGCUGAAACCUGCAGCAUGCAAUACUGAGAGGUGAAGGCAGCUGGACUUCCUGGGUGAGUGGGGACUUGGAGAACUUUUCUGUCUAGCUAAAGGUUUGUAAACGCACCAAUCAGCAAUCUGUAAAAAUGCAUCCAUCUGCGCUCUGUGUCUAGCUAAAGGUUUGUAAACGCUCCAAUCAGCACUCUGUAAAAACUGACCAAUCAGCGAUCUGUAAAACGGACCAGUCAGUGCUCUGUAAAAUGGACCAAUCAGCAGGACGUGGGCAGGGCCAAAUAAGGGAAUAAACGCUGGCCACCCGAGCCCACGGAGGCAACCCACUUGGGUGCUACUCCACGCUGUGGAAGUUUUGUUCUUUCCCUCUUCGCAAUAAGUCUUGCUGCUGCUCAGUAUUUGGGUCUGCGCUACCUUUAUGAGCUGUAGCACUCCCCACGAAGGUCUGCAGCUUCACUCCUGAAGCCAGCAACACCACGAACCUACCGGGAGGAACAAACAACUCCAGAGGCACCACCAUUAAGAGCUGUUAACACUCACUGCGAAGGUCUCCGGCUUCACUCCUGAAGUCAGUGAGACCUCGAACCCACCCGAAGGAAGAAACUCCAGACAGAUCUGAACAUCUGAAGGAAUAAACUCCGGACACACCAUCUUUAAGAACUGUAACACUCACCGCGAGGGGCCGCAGCUGCGUUCUUGAAGUCAGCGAGACCAAGAGCCCACUGGAAGGAACCAAUUCCGGACACAGUAUGAUAACCCCUAGCCACGUGUGGCUACUGAGCUCUUGAAAUAUGGCUACUCCAAAUUGAGACUUGCUGAAAGCAUAAGAUAGUCAAUUUUUCAAUGAUAGUAUGAAAAAAGACAAAGUAUUGAAUUGAUAAUUUUAUAUUGAUUACAUGUUGGAAUAAUUAUAUUUUGGAUAUAUUGGGCUAAAUGACACAUUAACUCAUUUCAUCUGUUUCAAUUUAAAAAAUACUGCUGCUAGAAAAUUUUUAAGGAAAUGUGUGGCUUCAUUUGUGGCUUGCAUUAUGUUUCUAUUGAACGGAUAGCACAGGCUUUGGGUCUAAGGGUAAAACAGAUAGUUAAGCAAACAAUUGCGAUAUGGUGUACUAAGUACUAUGGAAGGGAAAUAUAAGCUGUCAAUGGGAGAAAAACAUUACCUAAUUUAAAAUAGUAAAGAAAAGCUUUUCAAGAGGUGGAAUGUUUAAAUAUAUACUUAAAUAAUGGGUAAGAAUGGGCCAGAAAAAAAAGCUAGGGUAGUAUAUACUCAAAAGUAGAAAAACAAGAAUCAAGAAGCAAAACAUCUGCAUUUGAUAAACUAAAAGAAAUAUAAUGGCUCACACCUGUAAUCUCAACAUUUUGGGAGGCCAGGGCGGGUGGAUCACGAGGUCAGGAAUUCGAGGCCAGCCUGGCCAACAUGGUGAAUCCCCGUCUCUACUAAAAAAAAUACAAAAACUAGCCAGGCAUGGUGGCGGGCACCUGCAAUCCCAGCUACUUGGGAGGCUGAGGCAGGAGAAUCGCUUGAAACAGAAAGGCAGAGGUUGCAGUGAGUCAAGAUCACGCCACUGCACUGCAGCCUGGGCAACAAGAGCGAAACUCCAUCUCAGAAAAGAAAAAAAAAAAAAUUAUACACACACACACACACACACACACACACACAUAUAUAUAUAUAUAUAUAUAUAUAUAUAUAUAUAUAUAUAUAUAUAUAAUGUAGAGAAUAAUGAAUGAGAGUGGUAGGGACCAGUGAGGCAAGAAAGGGUUGGAGCAUCAACGAUUUUUAGAAGCACUGUAAGAAGACUGGUUUUUAUAGUAAGAUCAAUGAAAAGUCACUGAAGGAUUCUAAUCAGGUUAAGAUAUUACCAGAUUUCCUUCUUUGAAAGAUCAUUCUGGCAGUAAAACAGAAAAUGGAUUAGAGGAAAACAACACUGAUCUUUUCGAAGGUACUGAGCAUGAGGAUGAAAAACAUGCCUUUUGUCUUUGUUAUUGGUUGAAGGUGGAGGGCAAGGGAGGCAGAGGGAGCAGGAGCAAACCUUUAGAGAAAGCGUUUUUUGUGGUUUCUUCAAGAAGUGGGAGAGAGAGUAAACGGGUUUAGGCUUGGCUAGUUGAAUGAUUUCAGUGGGCUCUGAAUUUCAUGGCUGUCUCUAUUUGUCUGUUAUUAGGCCCUGGAGUGAUAGGGCAGCAGAAUAUCUACUCUGAACUAAGAGCAUAACAAAGGAGGUGGAAGAGGCGCCAGGAUAGCUCCCAUAUUUGGAGUGUUAUCAUUCAAGUACACACUGGCACCAGGGUCCCUGAGGCUUGCUCAUUGAGGUUGUCAACACUGCAAGAAGGAGUUUUUGUGGCAGAACAGACAUUGAUUGGAGAUGCUGGCAAGGCAGGGUGAAGCCAAGAGACCAGAAGAUGAUGGUCAUUGAAAAGAGAUUUUGUUACAGUUCAAGAGAAGCAAGCACAACAUGCCAUGCCUUCAUCUUCUGCUAUGAUUGUAAGCUUCCUGAGGCCCUCACCAGAAGUGGAUGAUGGCUUUACCCUUCUUGUACAGUUUGCAGAAUGUGAACAAAAGAAACUUCUUUUCUUCAUAAAUUACCCAGUCUCAGGUAUUCCUUUAGAACAAGGCAAAACAGAUUGGCCCGGCGUGGUGACUCACGCCUGUAAUCCCAGCACUUUGGAAGGCCAAGGCGGGAGGAUCACGAGGUCAGGAGAUCAGGACCAUCCUGGCUAACACAGUGAAACCCCAUCUCUACUAAAAAUACAAAAAAUUAGCUGGAUGUGGUGGCAUGCGCCUGUAAUCCCAGCACUGGGGAGGCUUAGGAGAAUCACUUGAACCCGGGAGGCAGAGGUUGCAGUGAGCCAAGAUCGUGCCACCGCACUCCAGCCUGGACAACAGAGUAAGAUUCUGUCUCAAAAACAAAACAAAACAAAAAAAACAAUGCAAAACAGACUAACACAGCAUUAGAAUAAAAAGACAGCAUUAGAAUAAAAAGACAUUGUUAAUACAAAGAGACGGCAAACAGAAGGCCGGAAAUGUGGGACUAAAACCAGGAGGACUUGGUCUCCUGGAAGACAAAAGAGGAGAUCUUUUCAAGGAAUGAGAACCAACACUGUUAGGUGAUUUUUAGGGUCAAAUACGAUAAAGGCUUGAGAUGGUUAAACUAAACAUAACAACGGGCAGAUAAUUUUAACCUGAUAUCAGUAUGAGUUGAAUUAUGAAGAGGAAAUCUGAUUUCUGAGGUCAGAGAAAAGAGGAAAUAGAAACAGUGGGCAUGUGCUCUUUUACCCUGAGAAUUCUACCUAUGCCAGCGAGGGAGGAACUUGUUAGCCAGAACAAACUGCCAUGUCCAGAAAAGAUUUUUUUAAAAUUUGUUCAUUUUAUUUUUAGUUCAGCUAGAAGGCAAAAAUUAAGCAUGUGUAAAAGCUUACAGGAAGGAAGACGUUUGUGGAGAGUGGUAGGUUAAAUAUACAGACAGGAAAUAAUCGGUUUUCUUCAGAAAAUGUGGAAGGCAAGCAAUGAAGGGCACACAUUUUUUUUUAAGUGAGCUUUCUUCAGUUCCAGGGGAAAAUGAUUUUAUUCUAACAGAAAACAAGAAAAAAACAGAUCAGAUGAAGGUUCAUAAAAAUUUGUAACUUUGAGGGCGGGAGACUGAGGGAGUGGUCUUCUGGCAGGUUUUAUUUUAUUCCUUUUUUCCCCUAAGAAUUAGAUAAACUCACCAGAUAAGAAUAAGGUAGGUGAAAAAAGGAUCCUAAAUUUAAGAAGAAUUUAGGAAGUUAGAAAUAGCUGUGUGGAGACUGAGAGAGACAGCCAAUUAGAGAAAUAAAUCCCCAAAAGGGUGGAGAGCAUCUAAAGAAUGUAGUAGGUAUAUUUAAAAUUUUAUUACAAGCUUUUUCUGCUUCUUAAAGGAUAAAAAAAACAAGUGUACUGAGAAUAUAUCAUUUCAAAUGAAACAGCAUAUAAAAGAUUUUCAUAAUAACUGUAAAAAAGAUGAUAUAGUUUUACAGGAUUAGGCAUCAGUAAUGAAGAAGAAUAUAGGCCAAAUCUGAAAGUCAUGUCCUCAGGAUGAAUCUUAAACACUUACAAUGUAUGUAACUCAUUCACAUCAAACCCAAGAAGUUAGAAACUGCUUUGAAACAGCACGUCAUAUAACUAGAAUUAUGGUUUUUCAAUUACAGGGGUUGAUUCUUAUAUUCAAUUUUAGUUGUCAUGGUGG
rnacentral:lncRNA from 1 species